AGAGUUUGAUCAUGGCUCAGGACGAACGCUGGCGGCGUGCUUAACACAUGCAAGUCGAAGGAAAGGCCCAAGCUUGCUUGGGUACUCGAGUGGCGAACGGGUGAGUAACACGUGGGUGUCUGCCCCUAACUUCGGGAUAAGCUUGGGAAACUGGGUCUAAUACCGGAUAGGACAGCCUUUAGUGUUGGUUGUGGAAAGUUUUUUCGGUUAGGGAUGAGCCCGCGGCCUAUCAGCUUUUGGUGGGGUAAUGGCCUACCAAGGCGUCGACGGGUAGCCGGCCUGAGAGGGUGAUCGGCACAUUGGGACUGAGAUACGGCCCAGACUCCUACGGGAGGCAGCAGUGGGGAAUAUUGCCAAUGGGCGCAAGCCUGAUGCAGCGACGCCGCGUGAGGGAUGACGGCCUUCGGGUUGUAACCUCUUUCGACAGGGACGAAGCGUUUUGUGACGGUACCUGUAUAAGAAGCACCGGCUACUACGUGCCAGCAGCCGCGGUAAUACGUAGGGUGCGAGCGUUGUCCGGAUUUACUGGGCUAAAGAGCUCGUAGGUGGUUUGUCGCGUCGUCUGUGAAAUCCCGGGGCUUAACUUCGGGGUGCAGGCGAUACGGGCAUAACUUGAGUGCUGUAGGGGAGACUGGAAUUCCUGGUGUAGGGUGGAAUGCGCAGAUAUCACGAGGAACACCGAUGGCGAAGGCAGGUCUCUGGGCAGUACUGACGCUGAGGAGCGAAAGCAUGGGGAGCGAACAGGAUUAGAUACCCUGGUAGUCCAUCCGUAAACGGUGGGCGCUA
rnacentral:rRNA from 1 species